AUUGAACGCUGGCGGCAGGCUUAACACAUGCAAGUCGAACGAGUGGCGGACGGGUGAGUAAUGCUUGGGAAUCUCGCUUAUGGAGGGGGAUAACUACGGGAAACUGUAGCUAAUACCGCGUACCAUAGGCUGAGCCCAAGUGGGAUUAGGUAGUUGGUGGGGUAAAGGCUCACCAAGACGACGAUCCAUAGCUGGUCUGAGAGGAUGACCGGCCACACUGGGACUGAGACACGGCCCAGACUCCUACGGGAGGCAGCAGUGGGGAAUAUUGCGCAAUGGGGGCAACCUGACGCAGCCAUGCCGCGUGAAUGAAGAAGGCCUUCGGGUUGUAAAGUUCUUUCGGUAGCGAGGCGUUAACUAAAGAAGAAGCACCGGCUAACUCCGUGCCAGCCGCCGCGGUAAUUC
rnacentral:rRNA from 1 species